GACGAACGCUGGCGGCGUGCUUAACACAUGCAAGUCGAACGGAAAGGCCCUGCUUUUGUGGGGUGCUCGAGUGGCGAACGGGCGAGUAACACGUGAGUAACCUGCCCUUGACUUUGGGAUAACUUCAGGAAACUGGGGCUAAUACCGGAUAGGAGCUCCUGCUGCAUGGUGGGGGUUGGAAAGUUUCGGCGGUUGGGGAUGGACUCGCGGCUUAUCAGCUUGUUGGUGGGGUAGUGGCUUACCAAGGCUUUGACGGGUAGCCGGCCUGAGAGGGUGACCGGCCACAUUGGGACUGAGAUACGGCCCAGACUCCUACGGGAGGCGGCAGUGGGGAAUAUUGCACAAUGGGCGGAAGCCUGAUGCAGCAACGCCGCGUGCGGGAUGACGGCCUUCGGGUUGUAAACCGCUUUCGCCUGUGACGAAGCGUGAGUGACGGUAAUGGGUAAAGAAGCACCGGCUAACUACG
rnacentral:rRNA from 1 species